GGCGGUUAGCGGCGGACGGGUGAGUAACACGUAGGCAACCUGCCUGUACGACUGGGAUAACUCCGGGAAACCGGAGCUAAUACCGGAUACGUUUUUCAGACCGCAUGGUCUGAAAGAGAAAGACCUUUGGUCACGUACAGAUGGGCCUGCGGCGCAUUAGCUAGUUGGUGGGGUAACGGCCUACCAAGGCGACGAUGCGUAGCCGACCUGAGAGGGUGAUCGGCCACACUGGGACUGAGACACGGCCCAGACUCCUACGGGAGGCAGCAGUAGGGAAUCUUCCGCAAUGGACGAAAGUCUGACGGAGCAACGCCGCGUGAACGAUGAAGGUUUUCGGAUCGUAAAGUUCUGUUGUUAGGGAAGAACCGCCGGGAUGACCUCCCGGUCUGACGGUACCUAACGAGAAAGCCCCGGCUAACUACGUGCCAGCAGCCGCGGUAAUACGUAGGGGGCAAGCGUUGUCCGGAAUUAUUGGGCGUAAAGCGCGCGCAGGCGGCUUCUUAAGUCAGGUGUGAAAGCCCACGGCUCAACCGUGGAGGGCCACUUGAAACUGGGAGGCUUGAGUGCAGGAGAGGAGAGCGGAAUUCCACGUGUAGCGGUGAAAUGCGUAGAGAUGUGGAGGAACACCCGUGGCGAAGGCGGCUCUCUGGCCUGUAACUGACGCUGAGGCGCGAAAGCGUGGGGAGCGAACAGGAUUAGAUACCCUGGUAGUCCACGCCGUAAACGUUGAGUGCUAGGUGUUGGGGACU
rnacentral:rRNA from 1 species